GGAAGUUCUCUGCUAACUGUCGCAAUUUUCACUUCAUGAAACAGAAGGGUAUAACUUUAGCAAGUAGUGGAUGAAUUUCUGUUAGAAUAUUUCUGAUUACUUGUCACCAAGUGAAGCAAUAUUGUGAAAAAGACUUUAUUCUAUACACUGUGGCUUAGUCACUUGUGGAGGAGCAAUUAAUUUUUAAGGGAGAAUUCCCCCGGAUUCUGCCUGGUCACGGUGAAAUUCUUAUGUGAACCUAGAUCAUGAUGUAAGAUUUGGAAUAUUUUUGAGUUAAUGCGAGCAGGAACAAACCCAGCAAGGUAAUUAAAAG
rnacentral:misc_RNA from 1 species